GACGAACGCUGGCGGCGUGCCUAAUACAUGCAAGUCGAACGAGAGCGACCGGUGCUUGCACUGGUCAAUCUAGUGGCGAACGGGUGAGUAACACGUGGGUAACCUGCCCAUCAGAGGGGGAUAACAUCCGGAAACGGAUGCUAAAACCGCAUAGGUCUUCGAGCCGCAUGGCUUGAAGAGGAAAAGAGGCGCAAGCUUCUGCUGAUGGAUGGACCCGCGGUGCAUUAGCUAGUUGGUGAGGUAACGGCUCACCAAGGCCGUGAUGCAUAGCCGACCUGAGAGGGUGAUCGGCCACAUUGGGACUGAGACACGGCCCAAACUCCUAUGGGAGGCAGCAGUAGGGAAUCUUCCGCAAUGGACGCAAGUCUGACGGAGCAACGCCGCGUGAGUGAAGAAGGUUUUCGGAUCGUAAAACUCUGUUGUUAGGGAAGAACAAGUGCUAGAGUAACUGUUAGCGCCUUGACGGUAUCUAACCAGAAAGCCACGGCUAACUACGUG
rnacentral:rRNA from 1 species